GAUGAACGCUGGCGGCGUGCCUAAUACAUGCAAGUCGAGCGAACAGACGAGGAGCUUGCUCCUCUGACGUUAGCGGCGGACGGGUGAGUAACACGUGGAUAACCUACCUAUAAGACUGGGAUAACUUCGGGAAACCGGAGCUAAUACCGGAUAAUAUAUUGAACCGCAUGGUUCAAUAGUGAAAGACGGUUUUGCUGUCACUUAUAGAUGGAUCCGCGCCGCAUUAGCUAGUUGGUAAGGUAACGGCUUACCAAGGCAACGAUGCGUAGCCGACCUGAGAGGGUGAUAGGCCACACUGGAACUGAGACACGGUCCAGACUCCUGCGGGAGGCAGCAGUAGGGAAUCUGCCGCAGUGGGCGAAAGCUUGACGGAGCAACGCCGCGUGAGUGAUGAAGGUCUUCGGAUCGUAAAACUCUGUUAUUAGGGAAGAACAAAUGUGUAAGUAACUAUGCACGUCUUGACGGUACCUAAUCAGAAAGCCACGGCUAACUACGUG
rnacentral:rRNA from 1 species